rnacentral:rRNA from 1 species
GUGGGGAAUAUUGGACAAUGGGCGAAAGCCUGAUCCAGCCAUGCCGCGUGUGUGAAGAAGGUCUUCGGAUUGUAAAGCACUUUAAGUUGGGAGGAAGGGCAGUAAGUUAAUACCUUGCUGUUUUGACGUUACCGACAGAAUAAGCACCGGCUAACUUCGUGCCAGCAGCCGCGGUAAUACGAAGGGUGCAAGCGUUAAUCGGAAUUACUGGGCGUAAAGCGCGCGUAGGUGGUUUUGUAAGUUGGAGGUGAAAUCCCCGGGCUCAACCUGGGAACUGCCUCAAAAAAUGCAUGACUAGAGUACGGUAGAGGGUAGUGGAAUUUCCUGUGUAGCGGUGAAAUGCGUAGAUAUAGGAAGGAACACCAGUGGCGAAGGCGACUACCUGGACUGAUACUGACACUGAGGUGCGAAAGCGUGGGGAGCAAACAGGAUUAGAUACCCCAGUAGUCC